UACGUAGGGUGCGAGCGUUAAUCGGAAUUACUGGGCGUAAAGCGUGCGCAGGCGGUUCGUUGUGUCGGUGGUGAAAUCCCCGGGCUUAACCUAGGAAUGGCCAUGGAAACUGGCGAACUGGAGUGUGGCAGAGGGGGGUGGAAUUCCGCGUGUAGCAGUGAAAUGCGUAGAGAUGUGGAGGAACACCAAUGGCGAAGGCAGCCCCCUGGGAUAACACUGACGCUCAGGCACGAAAGCGUGGGGAGCAAACAGG
rnacentral:rRNA from 1 species